rnacentral:lncRNA from 1 species
AAGCAGGAGCAAGAUAAUUUUUUCUUUGCUCUGUUCUCUGAUGACUGCCGCCACGUCUGGAUAUUGGGGCCAGAUCCUCUGUCCAAGGUGGUUUUCUCUGCAAAGGACACAGGUAUUUCCCACCUCCUUUUAGUUUCACUUCUGCCAAGUUUUUGAGGGCCAGGGGCUAAUCCACUAGAACAGUAUUUCCCUGUAGCUUGGUUUUUAAUUGUGUUCUGAAUUUAGUUUAUAUUCCUAAAUGGCUUUACAAGUUUUUUUCUCUUCAUGCCCUCAGAGGAAGUUAUGUGCUUCUGAACCUCUCGGGUACCAUUUUAGUACAUUAAGAAUUCCGUUCACUGAAUGAUACCCUUGUGGCCGGAAAGAGUUAAUACAAGUUUCUUAAGUACCUUAUUAAUUCCCAGGGAAUCAUUUAUGCAUUAGAGUGUAGCUUAGUAUCUCACCAGUUACAAAUAAACUAUGGAUUUUUUCCCCCCUUUGGAAAGUACAUUUGAGCCUUGAAAACAAAUGUAGAUAGAGCUUAAAUCUAGGAAUCCUGCUUUAGAAAUGAUUAAUCGUGUAAUGUUUCAGUGAGAGAAGGGGUCUAUUAUAAUAAUCAAGAUGAAGGGAGUUCAUAUUCCAGCUCGGUACUACAUUUCUCUGAGACUUUGGUAGCUUAACCUCUCCAUUUUCCUCACCUUGAACAUGGGGGCGAUGCCGAAGCCAGAAACGGCAUAGGACUGUGGUUAAGCACUUAGAUGUUCGUGUAUCAUGCAGGAGAACUGAGUAGGUACAGUUCCUGUCUUUGCUACUUGAUAACUGUGUGACCUCAAGCUAAUGAAUCUCUCCAGCUUAGCUUUGCUCACUUGUCAUCUGGAAUCAUGUUAGCAUCUAUCUCAUAAAGUUGUUAGGAAGAUUAACAGCUUGGUAAAUGUGAGCUGGAUUGUUGUUAUUCAUCAUUAUGACUUUUGAUGAGUGAUGCACAAGUGCCAAGUACUGUGCCUGGUACAUGGCAGCAGACUCUGAGUUAGGGGAUAGCUAAUGCUCUUAGAAGGUUCAUCUGCAGACAGUUCACGUUCAAGGUACAGAUGGAAUUCAGUCAGAGGACAGAACAAUUCGAUGUCUGCCAUUUGUUUCUCAUGUUGUUCGUCUGCCCUGUCUCUGGUGUGCAGUCCCCAGCAUUUUGUACGUCACCAUAAAGUUUGUGGCUGGCCUGCUCUUCCUUCUCUUUCUUUCCCCCAGGCAGAAGCAGCUUACUUUAGUUUUGGCAUUUUCUUCAUUGCCCUUCUGUAUGCUUGGGCCUCCCCUACUUUUGCUGCCUCCUUCCUUACUCUUCCAUUGCUUUCAGCUGCUCCGUGGUUGGGGAAAAAAAAAAAUCAGCCUGUAUUUACGUCUAUGACUUUGAUUUCAUGAGGGCAUGAUCUCACCCUUAUUAGACCAUGGCUCACUGUUACUUAAGGAGAAAGUCCUUCUUGAUGUUGGUCAUCUGAAAAAGAGGCCAGUUUCCCAGGCAGGAGCAUGGCGCAGGGGCUGGAGAGGAGGAGGGUGGUGGAACGAUGGAUUUUCUAGGAUGGAUCUGAGUGUGACUGACCAAGAUAUCCAGGAGGGAGCUGCCCCACUGCCUGUCUGGGAGGGACUGGUCAUGUGGAGGCAAAGAGAAGACUACGAAGCGUGGAAUAUGGGCAAGUAGCCUUUGAAGUUACAUUUGCCUUUUGGGACCAGAGUACAUGUGUCUUAAGAUAGCACCUUGUAGGUAGAUCUAAGGGUUUACUCCUUGCGCAUUGUUGGGCUGCUGAUAAAGUGGCAGCUGGAGGAGAAAGUUCAUCUUUUGGCCUCUAAAUGUUUCAUGCUGAUGCUGGUUUUUUUUUUUUUUUUUUUUUUACGUAGCACAAUAAUGAAAAUUCAUGAUGGUGGUGGUACUUGAGUGAGGUGCUCCAGUUACAAUAAGUUUGAUUUGAGAAGGGUAAACUAUUUUGAGUCAACUAGUAUGUAAUGGAUCAAAGGGGAGCAUGAGAGACCCCUCUAGCCCAACAAAUAAUAUGAUAAAAGUAAUAACAAAUGAAUAUGCCAUAAGGAAAAAGGGGCCCUUCAGCAGUGAGCUCAAAAAAUGAGACUUAGACCAAGUGUUGGUUAGUGCCUCUGUGAACAUGAUCUGUUGAAGAGGGUAACCUGUGGCAGGCGUGUUCUCCUAGUGGAACUGGAUACAACUUAGGAAAGAAGCAUGAACUUGUGUGUUUUUUUUCUUUCAUUUCACUUUUUUUUUUUUUUUGCCUAUGUGAUAUACAUUCCUGUAAAUAGAUAUCACCUCCACGUUUUUCCUUCCAUAAUUUAUUUUAUAAUGGUGUUUAUUUUUUUUCAUUAUAGCUGGAUUACAGUGUUGUCAGUUUUUCCACUGUGCAGCAUGGUGACCCAGGUACACAUACACAUUCUUUUUUGUCACAUUGUCAUGCUGCUGCAUCGUAAGUGACCAGAAGCAAGAACUUUUGAAGUCGAUAAAUAACUCUCUUUGUUCUAAUUCCGUAUCUACCCAUUGCUCGUCCGAUGCUACUCCACUGUAGUUCUCCAGUGUAGCUCACUUAUGGGGACAGAUUACAGUGACCAGAGAGUUAGGUAUUCAGUCAUCCUGGAAGUUAUUUUCUUGUAAAUUACUGACAAUAUUGAUAAACUGUCAUUUUGAUUAAUGUAGUUGAUAGCCUUUAAAUUUGGCAUGAGGUGUUUUUCCCGAAACCAGUCAACUCGUAAGACUGUGAUAAGGUGUCUGAGGUACAAGACUGAAUCUUACCUUGGACUACUAGCCCAUGAGGCAUUUGCAGACUUUUUCUAGUGAUACGCUGGAUUUUACUUGUAUAGUCACUCAGCAUGUCAUGUCAGUUUUGUCCAUUUUACAACAUUGAAGCUUGUAUAUGUUUAUUCACUUCUCAAAAUUAUUUAUGUAUGCUAUAAAUAGUUUGCUCAAAACUUAAACUUAGUGGGACAAUUAUAAUAGUUUUUUUUCCCAUUAAAAGUGAAAUAACACUGUCUUGUCUGUGAGAAAUUUGGCUUCACCUGAUUUUUAUUGUGGGAUUGAUGUAAAAAGAGAAACAUGAUGGAAUAGUAAAUACAAUUAGUGACAUCUGAUUGCUGCAAGGAUCAAUAAUAUCUGAUAGGUAGAUAUUUCUUUUGUGAUAAUAUACCUUGGUUUCACUGGCUACAACGAGAAGAAUAGAGAAUUUGAAAGCAGCUUGGUUACUGCCUAAACAGCAGUUAUUCUGAGUCGAUUGCCAUGAUUUUUAAUGGGUAGCUUUGUAUUUAAGUGGAUCGGGUAAAGACCAGAUGGUAGUUGUAUCAAAGUUCAUGAAGAUUUUAUGUCCGAUAUUUUGCCAUCAGCUGAAAACACUGGAAUUUAUUAACUAGGAAAGUUAAACAUCACCCCAUCCCAUUGAGGAAAACAAGCUUAUAAAUAACCAGAAUAAAAACUGAUGAACCAUUUUAUUUACCUAAUAAUUUACUGCCAUUAUCCACAAAGGGCACAGGUGGGAAGCCAGAAGAAAAUGGGCUUCAACACUCUUGUCUCCCACGAUGAGGCAAGAAUAGAGAAGAGGCAGGAGAAACAGUGCCAGAUAACAUCAUUAUAAACCCACAUGUCAGUGAUGACAGGAAGUGUCCAUAGACUAGAUGAUUCAGUUAAGACAAAGGUGGU